GAACUCUCUUCUUAUCUAUCUCUCUUUUCUUUUUUCUCUUCUUCCAUAAAAAAAAAUUAAAAAAAUCAUAAGAGAUUUAUUUUGAUCUAGACCCCUUCAUUGCAUAUCUAAAUAAUCAGAAUAAUCUGAGAUGGAUCUCUUGGAUGAGCUGUCCUGCAGAUUAGAUCAUUUAGAAUCUAUCAAACACUCUUCUUAUCCAUCUUAUCUUCC
rnacentral:lncRNA from 1 species